rnacentral:lncRNA from 1 species
GAUGUCGUCCUCCUCGAAAAGGAUAGGGCUGAGCGAGAGAGAGGAUCAGGUUUCGGUGGGUCGGCCCGCCUUAGAAGGGUCUUGGGAAUUUCAUCCGUUAGUUAGCCACCGUGCCAUAAGACAGGCAUCGUCAGCUGCUUAUGGCGCCGGCUUUCCGACGCCAUGGCCGGAAGAGCCCUGGGGGAGCAGCCUGCCCUACCACUGGGUCACCUCAGGCCACC